GAUGAACGCUGGCGGCGUGCCUAAUACAUGCAAGUCGAGCGAACAGACGAGGAGCUUGCUCCUCUGACGUUAGCGGCGGACGGGUGAGUAACACGUGGAUAACCUACCUAUAAGACUGGGAUAACUUCGGGAAACCGGAGCUAAUACCGGAUAAUAUAUUGAACCGCAUGGUUCAAUAGUGAAAGACGGUUUUGCUGUCACUUAUAGAUGGAUCCGCGCCGCAUUAGCUAGUUGGUAAGGUAACGGCUUACCAAGGCAACGAUGCGCAGCCGACCUGAGAGGGUGAUCGGCCACACUGGAACUGAGACACGGUCCAGACUCCUACGGGAGGCAGCAGUAGGGAAUCUUCCGCAAUGGGCGAAAGCCUGACGGAGCAACGCCGCGUGAGUGAUGAAGGUCUUCGGAUCGUAAAACUCUGUUAUUAGGGAAGAACAAAUGUGUAAGUAACUAUGCACGUCUUGACGGUACCUAAUCAGAAAGCCACGGCUAACUACGU
rnacentral:rRNA from 1 species